rnacentral:rRNA from 1 species
AUUGAACGCUGGCGGCAGGCCUAACACAUGCAAGUCGAGCGGAUGAAUGGAGCUUGCUCCUGGAUUCAGCGGCGGACGGGUGAGUAAUGCCUAGGAAUCUGCCUGGUAGUGGGGGAUAACGUCCGGAAACGGGCGCUAAUACCGCAUACGUCCUGAGGGAGAAAGUGGGGGAUCUUCGGACCUCACGCUAUCAGAUGAGCCUAGGUCGGAUUAGCUAGUUGGUGGGGUAAAGGCCUACCAAGGCGACGAUCCGUAACUGGUCUGAGAGGAUGAUCAGUCACACUGGAACUGAGACACGGUCCAGACUCCUACGGGAGGCAGCAGUGGGGAAUAUUGGACAAUGGGCGAAAGCCUGAUCCAGCCAUGCCGCGUGUGUGAAGAAGGUCUUCGGAUUGUAAAGCACUUUAAGUUGGGAGGAAGGGCAGUAAGUUAAUACAUGGAUGUUUUGACGUUACCAACAGAAUAAGCACCGGCUAACUUCGUG